rnacentral:rRNA from 1 species
GUGGGGAAUAUUGCACAAUGGGCGAAAGCCUGAUGCAGCGACGCCGCGUGAGCGAAGAAGUAUUUCGGUAUGUAAAGCUCUAUCAGCAGGGAAGAUAAUGACGGUACCUGACUAAGAAGCACCGGCUAAAUACGUGCCAGCAGCCGCGGUAAUACGUAUGGUGCAAGCGUUAUCCGGAUUUACUGGGUGUAAAGGGAGCGCAGGCGGUGCGGCAAGUCUGAUGUGAAAGCCCGGGGCUCAACCCCGGUACUGCAUUGGAAACUGUCGUACUAGAGUGUCGGAGGGGUAAGCGGAAUUCCUAGUGUAGCGGUGAAAUGCGUAGAUAUUAGGAGGAACACCAGUGGCGAAGGCGGCUUACUGGACGAUAACUGACGCUGAGGCUCGAAAGCGUGGGGAGCAAACAGGAUUAGAUACCCGAGUAGUCC